rnacentral:rRNA from 1 species
CGGGACGGGUGAGUAAUGUCUGGGAAACUGCCUGAUGGAGGGGGAUAACUACUGGAAACGGUAGCUAAUACCGCAUAACGUCGCAAGACCAAAGAGGGGGACCUUCGGGCCUCUUGCCAUCGGAUGUGCCCAGAUGGAAUUAGCUAGUAGGUGGGGUAACGGCUCACCUAGGCGACGAUCCCUAGCUGGUCUGAGAGGAUGACCAGCCACACUGGAACUGAGACACGGUCCAG